rnacentral:rRNA from 1 species
CUGUGUCCUUCGACGCCGGUUCACCGCCUGUCGGUGCCAACUGGCGUUUUGCGGGACGUCCUGUCGGUGGCGUGUCAGGAAUCUUAGUUGGGCUCUGUUCAGCUUCGAUUUCUGGCCGCUUUCAUAAUCCCGUCGCGGUGCUCUUAAACGAGUGUCGAGGCGGGCCGGCACGUUUACUUUGAACAAAUUAGAGUGCUUCAAGCAGGCUUGUCAUGCCUGUAUACUGUGUGCAUGGAAUAAUGGAAUAGGACCUCGGUUCUAUUUUGUUGGUUUCCGGAAUCUGAGGUAAUGAUCAAUGGGGACAGGCGGGGGCAUUCGUAUUGCGACGUUAGAGGUGAAAUUCUUGGAUCGUCGCAAGACGGACCGAAGCGAAAGCAUUUGCCAAGUAUGUUCCCGUCGAUCAAGAACGAAAGUUAGAGGUUCGAAGGCGAUCAGAUACCGCCCUAGUUCUAACCAUAAACAAUGCCUGCCAGCGAUCCGCCGGCGUCCCUCCGAUGACCCGGCGGGCAGCUUCCGGGAAACCAGAGCUUUUGGGUUCCGGGGGAAGUAUGGUUGCAAAGCUGAAACUUAAAGGAAUUGACGGAAGGGCACCACCAGGAGUGGAGCCUGCGGCUUAAUUUGACUCAACACGGGAAAACUCACCAGGCCCGGACACCGGAAGGAUUGACAGAUUGAUAGCUCUUUCUUGAUUCGGUGGGUGGUGGUGCAUGGCCGUUCUUAGUUGGUGGAGCGAUUUGUCUGGUUAAUUCCGAUAACGAACGAGACUCUAGCCUACUAACUAGACGUAUCUGGUAUCAGCAAUCGUGCUACCAGCGAUCAUAUCUCUUCUUAGAGGGACAGGCGGCUUCUAGCCGCACGAGACUGAGCAAUAACAGGUCUGUGAUGCCCUUAGAUGUCCUGGGCCGCACGCGCGCUACACUGAAGGAAUCAGCGUGUCUUCCCUGUCCGAAAGGACCGGGUAACCCGCUGAACCUCCUUCGUGCUUGGGAUUGGGGCUUGCAAUUGUUCCCCAUGAACGAGGAAUUCCCAGUAAGCGCGAGUCAUAAGCUCGCGUUGAUUACGUCCCUGCCCUUUGUACACACCGCCCGUCGCUACUACCGAUUGAAUGAUUUAGUGAGGUCUUCGGACCGGUGCGCGGAGGCGGUUUACCGCUCCCGAUGUUGUCGGAAAGAUGACCAAACUUGAUCAUU